ACGGGUGAGUAAUGUCUGGGAAACUGCCUGAUGGAGGGGGAUAACUACUGGAAACGGUAGCUAAUACCGCAUAACGUCGCAAGACCAAAGAGGGGGACCUUCGGGCCUCUUGCCAUCAGAUGUGCCCAGAUGGGAUUAGCUAGUAGGUGGGGUAAUGGCUCACCUAGGCGACGAUCCCUAGCUGGUCUGAGAGGAUGACCAGCCACACUGGAACUGAGACACGGUCCAGACUCCUACGGGAGGCAGCAGUGGGGAAUAUUGCACAAUGGGCGCAAGCCUGAUGCAGCCAUGCCGCGUGUAUGAAGAAGGCCUUCGGGUUGUAAAGUACUUUCAGCGGGGAGGAAGGUGUUGUGGUUAAUAACCGCAGCAAUUGACGUUACCCGCAGAAGAAGCACCGGCUAACUCCGUGCCAGCAGCCGCGGUAAUACGGAGGGUGCAAGCGUUAAUCGGAAUUACUGGGCGUAAAGCGCACGCAGGCGGUCUGUCAAGUCGGAUGUGAAAUCCCCGGGCUCAACCUGGGAACUGCAUUCGAAACUGGCAGGCUAGAGUCUUGUAGAGGGGGGUAGAAUUCCAGGUGU
rnacentral:rRNA from 1 species